rfam:Schistosoma curassoni strain Dakar, Senegal genome assembly, scaffold: SCTD_scaffold0000834
AUCCAUCUGACGAGUUCCUAAUAGGACGAAAUGCGCGUCCUGCAU